rnacentral:tRNA from 1 species
GGCCGGGUAGUCUAGCACGGUAUGAUACUUGGUUUGGGACUAAGUGGUCGCGGAUUCAAAUUCCGCCCCGGCCACCA